UACGUAGGGGGCAAGCGUUGUCCGGAAUCAUUGGGCGUAAAGCGCGCGUAGGCGGCCCGGUAAGUCCGUUGUGAAAGUCAAAGGCUCAACCUUUGAACGCCGAUGGAUACUGCCGGGCUAGAGUCCGGAAGAGGCGAGUGGAAUUCCUGGUGUAGCGGUGGAAUGCGCAGAUAUCAGGAGGAACACCAAUAGCGAAGGCAGCUCGCUGGGACGGUACUGACGCUGAGGCGCGAAAGUGUGGGGAUCAAACAGG
rnacentral:rRNA from 1 species